AGAGUUUGAUCAUGGCUCAGAACGAACGCUGGCGGCAGGCUUAACACAUGCAAGUCGAACGCGUGUAGCAAUACACGAGUGGCGCACGGGUGAGUAACACGUGGAUUAUCUGCCUUUUGGUUCGGAAUAACCCCGGGAAACUGGGGCUAAUACCGGAUAGUUCCUACGGGAUAAAGAUUUAUCGCCAAAAGAUGAGUCCGCGUCCGAUUAGCUAGUUGGCGGGGUAAUGGCCCACCAAGGCGACGAUCGGUAGCUGGUCUGAGAGGACGAUCAGCCACACUGGGACUGAGACACGGCCCAGACUCCUACGGGAGGCAGCAGUGGGGAAUAUUGGACAAUGGGGGCAACCCUGAUCCAGCCAUGCCGCGUGAGUGAUGAAGGCCUUCGGGUUGUAAAGCUCUUUUGGCGGGGACGAUGAUGACGGUACCCGCAGAAUAAGCCCCGGCUAACUUCGUGCCAGCAGCCGCGGUAAGACGAAGGGGGCUAGCGUUGUUCGGAAUUACUGGGCGUAAAGCGCGUGUAGGCGGCUGCCAAAGUCGGGUGUGAAAGCCUUGAGCUCAACUCAAGAAUGGCACUCGAUACUUGGUGGCUAGAGGACCGGAGAGGAUAGUGGAAUUCCCAGUGUAGUGGUGAAAUACGUAGAGAUUGGGAAGAACACCAGUGGCGAAGGCGGCUAUCUGGACGGUUUCUGACGCUAAGACGCGAAAGCGUGGGGAGCAAACAGGAUUAGAUACCCUAGUAGUCC
rnacentral:rRNA from 1 species